rnacentral:rRNA from 1 species
GAUAAUGGUUCAUAAUUGAAUAGGCUUGGAAAAGUUUUUCAAUGAAAGGGAUAAGAAAAAUGGUUCUUAUUUGCUAUAGGAUAGGAUCGUGGUCGAUUAUGGUUGUUGGUGAGGUAAUGGCUCACCAAGCCGAUAAUCGAUAGGGGCCGUGAGAGCGGGAGCCCCGAGAUGGGUACUGAGACAACGACCCAGGUUCUACGGAACGCAGCAGGCGCGGAACCUCAGCAAUACACGAAAGUGUGACUGGGUUACCCAAAGUGUUCAUAUUUGAACUGUGGUAGGUGAGUAAUGUUCCCUACUAGAAAGGAGAGGGAAAGGCUGGUGCCAGCCGCCGCGGUAAAACCAGCUCUUCAAGUGGUCGGGAUAAUUAUUGGGCUUAAAGUGUCCGUAGCCGGUUUAGUAAGUUCCUGGUAAAAUUAGGUAGCUUAACUAUCUGUAUGCUAGGAAUACUGCUAAUCUAGAGGGCGGGAGAGGUCUGAGGUACUACAGGGGUAGGGGUGAAAUCUUAUAAUCCUUGUAGGACCACCAGUGGCGAAGGCGUCAGACUGGAACGCGCCUGACGGUGAGGGACGAAAGCCAGGGGAGCGAACCGGAUUAGAUACCCGGGUAGUCCUGGCCGUAAACGAUGCAUACUAGGUGAUG